UGACGUCACAGUUCUCAGACGUCGGAGGAGGAGGYGGUGGUGGUGUUAGAGGAUCUCCGCUCAGCCAACUCCACGGCGUGUUUGAGAAAAAUGAAACAUGGAUGAGGGGUUCACCSAAAGUCGGGAGGAAGCAGCCCAUUGUGGGAAAUAGGACAACAUCCAACCAAGAAGCGACUCAAGACCUGAAUGAUGUUCCUGGCCCACCAACCAAGCCGUUCACAGUUUGCCAAAGCUUGAUCAAAAAUGGUCCUGGUGGAAGGGCGGCUGCCAUAAAACAAGUUUUAAAGACGUAAAACAGGGAGGAAAAAGGUGUGAAUGG